rfam:Oryza glumipatula chromosome 1, whole genome shotgun sequence.
AAUAAGUGUAGUUUUACACUAUUUACAUUCAACGUUUGACUAUUCGUCUUAUUUGAAAAUUUUGUAUUAGAUGAUAAAAUAUGAAUAGUACUUUAUGUGUGGCUAUUUUUUUUAAUUAUUUCAUAAAUUUUUUAAAUAAGAAGGACGAUCAAACAUUGGACACGGAUAUCCACGGCUGUACUUGUU